UACUAUUCAGAUGAAGGUUACGUACUAUCUUCCCCAUUAUAUGAUACUAUGUUUUCCCAUUAACAGUACCAAAUUUACCUAUCACCCAUACUAUUCAGAUGAAGGUUACGUACUGUAAGUAUCAUACGUCCAUACCAUAUUUAUAUUAGCAUGAUACUAUUAUGUGCCAUAUUUUAUACUAUGUAUCACACAAUAAUUAACAACCAUAAAGAAAUGCAUUUCAGCAGUACAGAAAAAGAUGGAGACCUACCAGCCAUCGGUGCGAACCCUCUUUCCACGCGAAUUAGCUUCAUCUUUGCAGGUCACGACAAUGUCGACCACACUCAUCUUCAUUAUCAGAUGCAAUGCAACCAUAUUCUCCACAUCUUCAUCAGUGCCCAAUGUCACAUACAAUCUUUCCCGAGGAGCCAAGUAUUGGAGGAUCAGUGCAUCUGGAUGGAUAUGAUUCCAUUUGUUGAUAAUAGCACCAUAUAUCUCCAUUAAUGUCGAAUUACUUUUUAUGGAAAUAAUGUGAAGUUGAUUUUUGUAUCGACAACUUCCAAGAAUCACACUGGGUACAUCGUUAGAUACAUCAUUUGUAGCCAUUGUGGGGUGGGUGGGUUUUACAGUGAUUUUUUCGCCGGAAAAAAGGGGAAACCAGAGGAGAGAAAUGGAGAAGAAAUAGAGAAGAAAGAAAGCAGAUA